UACGUGAGUGGCAAGCGUUAUCCGGAAUUAUUGGGUGUAAAGGGUAUGUAGGUGGAAUGAUAAGUCAGGUGUUAAAAUGCUGCGCUCAACGCAGUAGUGGACCUGAAACUGUCUAACUAGAGUACAGGAGAGGUGAGUGGAAUUACAAGUGUAGCGGUGAAAUGCGUAGAUAUUUGUAGGAACGCCAAAGACGAAGGUAGCUCGCUGGACUGAUACUGACACUGAGAUACGAAAGCUAGGGGAGCAAACA
rnacentral:rRNA from 1 species